rnacentral:snRNA from 1 species
AUACUCUGGUUUCUCUUCAGAUCGUAUAAAUCUUUCGCCUUUUACUAAAGAUUUCCGUGGAGAGGAACAUUUAUGUAAGAUGACUGAUAUCCAUAUUGUAGGAGCGCUAAUAUCUGUGCU